AGCUUAUGAAGAGCCCAUAGUUCAUGCUCAUCAAGUGAAAAAUGACAUGCCUGAUCUUGCAGUGUGGGCAGAGAGUUGCUCUGAAACCUGCCAACACACACCAGCAAAAACAGCCCACUGACUCAACCGCCCGCUUUCGCCAACCUGCCGGUUACUUCACUGCAGGACGUGUAUUUGAGCCAAAUCAAGCAAAACACCUUGACGUUUGUGAGUUUGCAGGAUUUGGAAAUAUAUCACCGCUUGAAGACAACCUUCCAGCACAGAGAGAGUAUCGGGCUGACUGGGGAGCCGUUCAAGAAUUGCGGAACAAGGACGUUUUCCAGUUCUGGAGAAGCACGGUGGCCAGAUUCCCAGCUCUGGCAGUAGUCGCCCUGCGAUGCUUAGCAGUACCAGUCUACAGCGUGGGUGAUGAACCCUCCUUCUCAUCUUAUAAAAAUGUGCUUGGGGACAACAGACGCCGCAUAAACAACAAGCUGUCUAGAGGUGCAAGCUGCAAUUUCCAGCUGCUGUAAUCAAUCACAACGGCCAGAGCACAGCACAGUCUGUACGUGCUGGCUGCCUUCCUUCCCUCCUCAUUCAUGCAGUGCCAUUGCUCUCCAAAGCUGCGUCUGCAUUAAGGGGGCACCGCCGGGAGCAGCAGAGAGAUUGAAACAGCGUUGCUGCGGCCCAGGUGCAGCAGGAUUACAGCACGGUCAUUUAAAGCUCUGCUUGCAAUGGCGCGAAAGGGGGUGGAUGAAGAUGAUACUCCAGGGGCAAGGGCAGGGACGGAUUAAGACUUAAAGGUGCUCAGAUCCAUCCUACACACAGGGCACAAGCGGGGUAGGGCUGUCAGGCAAAUCACAUUUUGGGGGGGCGGGAGCUUGAGGCACAGUAUCUCAGACACCGCACCUAGUCUCAAGUCAGUUUACGGGGGCUGUGGAGACAUCUGCUGUGUACAAAGGGUGUGAUUUAAAUAAGCCUGUUGCUUUCUCCUCUACUGGUGCACCGAUUUAUCUAUCAUUUUCAUAGGUUUGAAAACAGGGCGUCUUACGUAGCUGGUUAUGCAGAGUUAGCAUGCUUAGACAAACAGUUUUGGUAGGUCCUACAAAAGUCUCUGAACUUCUUCCUCUAAGCAGUACAGUGCUACCCCUUUGUAAAAUAGCUCAUUAGAAUCCAAAGCCUCCCAUUCGAUAUUCCUCCAGCACACAUCUAGGGAUAAACUAUUUGAAUGGUGUCCCUUUAACUCAAGAGGCCGACACUAUAAUCAAGGUGUGUGUUUUGUGAGACAAGACCUCAGAACCUAUUACUCAUUUCUACCAAGUUUUAAAGAAAACUGAGCUUACUUUCUAUAACUCAAAAUGUCAAGUAAAAAAAGGUACUUACAAUAGGGUGUUUUCAGGAUGUCCCCCCUGCAAAAGCAUGCGUUCAAAGAGGUAGUGAGUAGGAUGCCUACUGCACACUGUCCAUAUAAACCCUAUUGUACACUGCUGUCUUACAUUCGUGCUUCCCCUGGCUUGCCACCUGGUAAAUGCACAAACAAUGACAAUACAAGUUUGUAUCCCAAAUGGCUUGAAAGAAUCUGAAGCCACUGAACAAGGAGAUCAAGCUAGGAAAGCAAACAGCUAGCCCUUGCAUCUGUUGUGGGUUAAUAAAAUCUAAAAUGAUGAACGAAACAACAGUCAGCCUUAAAAGAAAAUAUUUUAUGAGCGCAAUAAGACAUGUUUUGAACAGUGCUGGAGGCAACUAUCAAACAAAACUCUUAACAUUAAAAAGCAGAUCAAUUUCUGGGAAGCACUUAGGAAUGCUGUCAGCGUAUUGAGUCUUCGAGGCUUCACUUAAUCCUUCAUAGAAAUAUAUUUCUUAUAUCACUUACAAAAAACUCCACUAUGCCUUGGGUAAAAUGCUAGAUUUGGUUUAUACUGAAUACUUUGGUAAAAACAAAUCAUAAAGAGGUCCUUCAUUCAUUUUGGUGCCUAUUAGGUCCAUCACUGGCUAUUAACCAGGAUGGGCAGGGAGGGUGUCCCUAGCCUUUGUUUGCCAGAAGCUGGGAAUAAGCAACAGGGAACGGAUCACUUGAUGAUUCCCUGUUCUGUUCAUUCCCUCUGGGGCACCCGGCACUGGCCACUGUCGGAAGACAGGAUACUGGGCUAGAUGGACCUUUGGUCUGACCCAGUAUGGCCGUUCUUAUGUACAACAUUAAUUAUUUAGAGUCUCUCAUUAAAUCAGGAUUGCAGAUUAUGUUCCCUUUUCUAUUGAAGGAGAAUUUUUUCUAUUCCAUUUCAGUAUUUGUGUUCUCCUUCUUCAGAUAAGUGAAUUCUCUUCACUCGGUCUCCAGUAGAAAGAAGGUGUGCAUUUCAACCUGCUAACCAGUUUCAGGAUAGAGACCUGACUGGUGAGAGAAAUGGAUAUAUUUAUGGAUCUAUGAUCUAAACUGCAAACCAUUUUCAAAAUGUACAGAAAGGUUGUGCUAUUUCUCAGUAAGGCCUGAAGUAGGAAACUUACAUCGGCACAAAAUAACUCACAAGCAAAAAAACGUUCACUUUAAAACAAACCAACCCAGAUACUUAAAGUUCUCUAGAACAACAGAACACAUUGUAACAAACUAAUCCGAAGAAAGCGCCAAGCUAUGGCUUUUCAGUUUUGGUUUAAUGUACAGAAUGGAGUAUAACACCAUUUUCCAGCAUUUCGGAAUUUCAUAUUUUACUUGAUCUUUAGCUUUUCUAGAUUCUAGAAAGCCUUUUCUUAGAUGCUUAGUUCUAUGAAACUACAUGCGAAUGUGUCUCUAACUAUUAAAGACUGGCCCAGAUUUUCAAAUGUGA